rnacentral:rRNA from 1 species
UGGGGAAUUUUGGACAAUGGGCGAAAGCCUGAUCCAGCAAUGCCACGUGUGUGAAGAAGGCCUUCGGGUUGUAAAGCACUUUUGUCCGGAAAGAAAUCCUUGGCUCUAAUACAGUCGGGGGAUGACGGUACCGGAAGAAUAAGCACCGGCUAACUACGUGCCAGCAGCCGCGGUAAUACGUAGGGUGCAAGCGUUAAUCGGAAUUACUGGGCGUAAAGCGUGCGCAGGCGGUUUUGCUAAGACCGAUGUGAAAUCCCCGGGCUCAACCUGGGAACUGCAUUGGUGACUGGCAGGCUAGAGUAUGGCAGAGGGGGGUAGAAUUCCACGUGUAGCAGUGAAAUGCGUAGAGAUGUGGAGGAAUACCGAUGGCGAAGGCAGCCCCCUGGGCCAAAUACUGACGCUCAUGCACGAAAAGCGUGGGGGAGCAAAACAGGAUUAGAUACCCCUGGUAGUCCACGCCCUAAACGAUGUCAACUAGUUGUUGGGGAUUCAUUUCCUUAGUAACGUAGCUAACGCGUGAAGUUGACCGCCU